GAACGUUUUUCAGUAGUUUAAGACAUGCAAAUCGUUGUUCCCAACGUCCUUUUUAUAAUUCAUAUUAUAAUGUCAAUGGGAUUAGGGGAUAAGGUGUAGAGGUGAGUAUGUUAAAUAAGAUACCCUAUAGUCUUCUUAGCUAGGAGAUAUAAAGUAAAGGAAAAUUUCUGCUAUAGGAUUCUAUUUAAUUUGAUUAGGUAGUUGAUAGGGUAACGGCCUACCAAGCCAACGAUCAAAAGUCAAGUUUGAAAGAACCUCUGGCCACAUUGGGGAUGAAAUCUCCCAAGUAGUAAUAACACUACCAGCAGUCGAGAAUAUUAGUCAAUGCUCGUAAGAGUGAACUAGCUAACUGAAAUCAUAGAAUUUCUUUAAAUUCAUGAUGUCGUAAGGGAAAAUAAUGAUAAUACCUUACUAUGAGUGUCGUCCAAAUCUGGUGCCAGAAGACUCGGUAAGACCAGAGACGCAAACGUUAAUCAUCAUAAACAGGCGUAAAGGGUUUGUAGGCAGCUUUUAUAAAAUUGUCAAAGGUAAUUUAAUUGAAAGCUAGAAUCAAAAAGAGGUUAUAGUGUAUAACGCCUAGAGGAGGGCUGAUAUCCGUAGAUCCUAGGCAGAAUACUCAGGGCGAAGGCCACUCUCCACUAAUGAUUGACGCUGAGAAACGAAGGUUAGGGUAGGAAAUAGGAUUAGAUACCCCGGUACUCCUUUCUGUAAACGAUGAAUGGUAGUCAUUAGUUUAAUUAAAAUAACUAGAGGCGAAGUUAACACAAUAACCAUUCCGCCUUGUGAGUACUACUGCAAAGUAGAAAACAAAAAAAUUAGUCGGUCUCACCUUACCAGAACUUGCAUACAAACUAUAAAAUUUUUUGUCAAAGGAAAAUUAUUAGGAGUAUUUUAUCAUUUAAAUACUUAAGUACAGGUGUUGCAUGGCUGUCUUCAGUUCGUGUUGUUAAACAUUAGGUUAAUUCCACUAACGAACGAAAUCCCUGUUAUUAAUUUAUACUUAAUAACUAAUGAAUCUGAUAGAGAUUUAGCGGGGGCUAAGACAAGUCGUUAUGGCCCUCAUGUUCUGGGCUAUAGACGUGCCACAAAAACUUUUACAAAGUGAUGCAAUACUUCCCAAGAGAAGUGGAGCUAAUCAUUAAAAAAAGUGAUUUAUAUUAAAUAUAAGCCGGAUUGUCUCCUGUAAUUCGGAGGCAUGAAGAAGGAAUUCCGAGUAAUCGUUGAUAAGUAGCGCAACGGUGAAGCUAGUUUCGUGAUGAACUAACUGUCUGUCGCUGGGAAGAAGCUUUUAGUGGAGGAAACUGGAGUAAGAUUAUGUUUUUUUCAUAGUAACUCAUUGCUUUAAGUAAAGUAAGUAUUUUGAGUAUUAUGAUAAACUUAUUGGAUUUAGUGAAUUCAUUGAGGUAACAUCUCAAAAGUC
rnacentral:rRNA from 1 species